GCAUUAAUGGGGUAGUGGUAACCUGGGUCGUUGCCAUGUUUCGAUUUGCGAAGUGUCGACGUGUCGACCCGCCGGGGGUUCGAUUCCCUCUUAAUGCA
rnacentral:tRNA from 1 species